UCGCCUGUUUAACAAAAACAUGUCUUUUUGAAUUUUUUUAAAAGUCUAGCCUGCCCACUGAAUAAUUUUAAAUGGCCGCAGUAUACUAACUGUGCAAAGGUAGCAUAAUCAUUAGUCUUUUAAUUGAAGGCUGGUAUGAAUGGUUGGACGAGAUAUUAACUGUUUCAUAAAAAUUUAUAGUAGAAUUUUAUUUUUUAGUCAAAAAGCUAAAAUAAUAUUAAAAGACGAGAAGACCCUAUAAAUCUUUAUAUAUAAAUUGUUGGAAUUUUGUAGAUUUUUUUUAUUACAAUAGUUGAUUAUAUUUUAUUGGGGUGAUAUUAAAAUUUAAUAAACUUUUAAUUUUUUAUAUCAUUAAUUUAUGAAUAAUUGAUCCGUUAAUAGCGAUUAAAAAAAUAAGUUACUUUAGGGAUAACAGCGUAAUUUUUUUGGAGAGUUCAUAUCGAUAAAAAAGAUUGCGACCUCGAUGUUGGAUUAAGAUAUAGUUUUAGGUGUAGCCGCUUAAAUUUUAAGUCUGUUCGACUUUUAAAUUCUUACGUGAUCUGAGUUCAGACCGGA
rnacentral:rRNA from 1 species